UCACUCUGGUUUCCCUUCAAAACGUAUAAAUCUUUCGCCUUUUACUAAAGAUUUCCGUGGAGGGGAACACUCAAAUGAGUCUAUAAAUAUUUUUGAAUGCUCUGCGCACGCAGGGCU
rnacentral:snRNA from 1 species